rnacentral:rRNA from 1 species
AGCUCCAAUAGCGUAUAUUAAAGUUGUUGCAGUUAAAAAGCUCGUAGUUGAAUUUCUGGCUGGUGCUGUGUUGGCUCUCUGAGUCGAUUCAGUGCUUAGUCAUCCGUAUGGGAAGCUAGCUCGGCCUUCACUGGUCGGCUAGUGGAUCAUACACUUUACUUUGAAAAAAUUAGAGUGUUUCAGGCAGGCAAUUGCUUGGAUACUGCAGCAUGGAAUAAUGGAAUAGGACUUUGACCUAUUUAUUGGUUUCUCGAGGUCGAAGUAAUGAUUAAUAGGGACAGUUGGGGGCAUUCGUAUUUAAUUGUCAGAGGUGAAAUUCUUGGAUUUAUUAAAGACGAACUUAUGCGAAAGCAUUUGCCAAGGAUGUUUUCA